rnacentral:rRNA from 12 species
CUGAAGAGUUUGAUCAUGGCUCAGAUUGAACGCUGGCGGCAGGCUUAAGACAUGCAAGUCGAGCGGAAACGAUGGAAGCUUGCUUCCAGGCGUCGAGCGGCGGACGGGUGAGUAACGCGUAGGAAUCUGCCCAGUAGAGGGGGAUAGCCCGAGGAAACUCGGAUUAAUACCGCAUACGCCCUACGGGGGAAAGGCCGGGAUCUUCGGACCGGUCACUAUUGGAUGAGCCUGCGUGAGAUUAGCUUGUUGGUGGGGUAAAGGCCUACCAAGGCGACGAUCUCUAGCUGGUCUGAGAGGAUGAUCAGCCACACUGGAACUGAGACACGGUCCAGACUCCUACGGGAGGCAGCAGUGGGGAAUCUUAGACAAUGGGCGCAAGCCUGAUCUAGCCAUGCCGCGUGAGUGAUGAAGGCCUUAGGGUCGUAAAGCUCUUUCGCCUGUGAAGAUAAUGACUGUAGCAGGUAAAGAAACCCCGGCUAACUCCGUGCCAGCAGCCGCGGUAAUACG